GGCGAUUUGCAUUUCAAUGGGUUCCGCUGGUAGACUCAGUGCCGGGCACUUCCGCAGCUCCUACCAGAUCUGCCUUUGUUGGUUUUAGCUCAGGUCAAGUUCAUUUCUUGGGACUGGGGGAGCGGCGCGCGUUGAGUCUGUGUAGUGAGGCAGAACGCGCGCGCCGGGAAGGAAGGAGCCGCGCGCCCUUUGUCUGCGCAGCCCGAGGCUCGGAGCGCCUGCUUCAUCUACGAGUACUGAGGAUUGAACUGAGGGCCUCAUACAUGCUAGGUGUCCGGCUCCCUAAAGAAUGAACUCUUCCAUCCCCUUCUUCCAGACUGCUGACUAUAGACUCGGAACCUGUGAGGGUCCGACAUCCCCGACACCAUACACUAGAUUGAAAUUUGUUUCCCUUUGUCUUAAGAAAAACUCCUGGGGAUACUGAGGAUACCAAGAGGUUGGUGAAUGAUUGGCAGGAGUACUUGUGGCUCGCUGGGGCGCUGGAAGACCUUGCACAAUGCCUGGAAUUGUAUAUUGUGCACAACCUUGUUUUGACAGAACGAAAGACCUUCAUCCUAUUGCUCACUCGAUGGUUCUAUAAAAGCAAUUUUUCACUCGCAGGCUGUGCAGAGCCAGGUGUGCGUUCCAUAAUACGCCUAUUAUACAGCCAUUCUCAGUAGCCGUGCAUAUACAAUGACCCUUCUGAUUUGCCCCACUACCGAGUGCUUGCCAAGACUUCGGUCCCCACCUGGUACAACUUCAGGAAAAGGCCAAGGUAGCCUUAAUCAGCAUCACUGGGGACCAGUCCAAAGAGAACAGGUCAGAGGAAUACCAGAGUCUACUAUCAACAUGAGGAUUGUAAAUACUUAUAUCCACAAAACCCAACACAUACCAAUAAAAGAAGAUAGAGGAAAUAAAAGGAAAUUAACAGUGACUGCAGGACAUAUUGUUUAAGAAUCCAGAAAAGAAUCAAGUGCUCUUCACUCUCUGAUUUAUAUCACUUCAGGAAGAAAGAAGCCUUUUUGUCUCUUUAUCAAGCCUACAGUCAUGGAAUGUGUAUAUGCUUUUUUUUUUUUUUUGAGUACUGGGGAUUGAACUCAGGACCUUGCACCUCAGAACCACUGAGCUAAAUCCCCGGCCCAGUGUACAUGGUUUCUUCAGUUUCAGCCCUUGUGAUUGCCAUUCAACAGAAGUUGCUUAUACCAUGGUCAUCUUUCUUUGUAACCAAACCUUUUGCUUGUGAUUUUGCUCUCCUAAGUGUUAAUCAUUUGUGGCACCAACAACAGCACUAGUAGUUUCUUGCUUAUCCUGACACGUCACUGACUUCUUUCUUUUUUCUAGCUUUCAGUAUUUCUGGCAAUUCUUUCCUUUGCUACCCUUGGAAAUAAAACAUCUGACAUAGUCACAAGUCAUCAGCCAUGUCUAGAUGACCAUGAAUUCCAUGUACAUAACUGCUAGUAUAACAGAAAUAUGUCCAAUUAACACUGCUAGCAGAAGACUCUCCACUUGAAUGUCUCAAAACCUUAAUAUAAUAAGUAAGAAAUGGUCAAGUAGUACUUUUAAAUGACUUGACCUAAUAGUUACAUUCCCAAACUGGAGUUAAUUGCUUGCUUCAAAACUUCAUUUUCUCCAACUAGCUUACGAAUUACUGAUAGCUCUGGACCUUGAGUUUCUUGGUUUGUUGCAUUGAAAUCAUCUGUAGUGUUCCUUCCUUCUUCCAUCUUUCCAUUUCUCCAGGGAGUGAAAAAGCUUUUAGCUGAUCUUUGAUUUCUUCUUCUAUCUAACCAUGUUAUUCUUGGGGUGUAAUAAUGAAGUUUGCAUGCCCCCUUUUAUAAUCUGAUGUAGGCCCACAAGCAUUGAUGCUUUGCUAAUAUUGGUUUAUUUAUUAUGCCUUCUUUGGAAAAUCCUUUGUGAUUACUUGUUUGAAGUUAAAAAUACUGAUUGGAUACAAGAUUCUUUUUUUUUUUUUUCAGUUUUCAGCAUAUAUCUCCAACCUGCCCUCAGUCUAUAUUUGAGUUUAAUAAAUCACAGUUUAAUUUUACUAAGCUUAAUUUUCUGCUCUGUAAAUUGAGACUAAUAAUAUUAACAAUCUCAUAAGGUUGUGGUUAGGAUUAAUUUAAUACAUGCAAUCCUUAGAAUGAUGCCAGAGUUAUAUCAAACCCUUAUUCAGUGUUAAUUAUGUGGAAAAAAAUUCAUUAUCAUCUCAUGCUGAAGACAAAUUUUUUUUGUAGUUUUCUACUAUUUUUGCAAAAAACCCCCCCCACAAACAACACCCCCAAAUCAACAGCUUUUGAAGGGUUCAUGUUUAAUUCUGGGUCUGUAAAAAACUCUUGGUUGAUUUUUAGUUGUCUUGAUCCAAUUUUAUCCUCUGUAAUGAUAGUACUCUUUAAUGAUGAUUUUUUUAAAAAAACCCUAAAAACAUACAUAUUCUCUAGAAGGUAUUUAGUAUCAAGUAUCCUAAUAAAGAGUUGCUAUGAAGCAAAUCUUUUGCUAAAGGUGAUUCUCAAACUUGAGUUUACUAAAAUGGUCCAAGAAAUAUAGUAAGGGAUUUGCACUGCAGUAAUGUCUUUGAAGUCGUCGCCUGCCUUUAAUUUUUCAGUAAGCGCCUAAUCUCAUUAGAUUUCAUACACCCAGUGUUUGCACUUGCACAAAAGCUGUCCAAACAAAGCCAAAAUGUUGACACCACCGUCCUCUGAUGGCAUUUAGAAUGAAUAUAUUAAACACACUUGCACUAGCAUUGCAUUAAGCUAAGAAAUAAAUUUUGAACUUUGAACUCAGCAGGAUAAAAAGUUUUACUUGAUAGCUGAGCAAUUGUGUUGUGGUAUCAUGGGGGGAAGUCAUUGUGUUGUUCAGAGAAUCCAAAUAUGCAAACAUGCUCUGCAUACAGUAGGCACUGCACAAGUAAAGAAUUAAAGUAAGGAACAGUCCUCAAAUCCUGUUGUUAGGGACAUAAAUGGAAGGUAAAGUGGACUGGUGGAUUUGCUUUGAAAUGCACUGAAUAAACUUUGAUUAAACUCGCUUCAGAGAAAGGCUCUGAAAGAAUACCUUCUAGUAAGUGUGUGAACUAGAGUAUGCUUUACUUCAAUCCACUCUGGUAAUUCACAAAUUUAGGCAUUUUUCUUUAGAAUCUGGAAAUUAUAUUUUUAUUAAAGGUUUGGAAACUGAUGAUUAUAGAGAACAUAAAAGAUAAGACUUCUCUGACUUUUGUCAUAAAAUAAAGAUAGCAACAAGGCUAGAAUUUGGAACCAACUAAAUCUAAUGGCUAGAGCUAUUUAGUGGUUUCUAAGUAGACAGAAGUGAAAGUAAAAGAGUUUCCCCAUAUAUUGUGUAUAAAUGUUUAUAAACCUAUAUAUCUGUAAUAUGAUCAUUAAUUAAGAAAUAUAUACCAAUGAGGAAAAUACCACCCACCAAAAUCCAUUCAUUAAAGUUUGUGCACAUUACUUAUUGAAAAUUUCAUAAUUCCUCAGCCUGAUUUCUUUUACUUUAGACAUUAUUUGCUUGAGUUUUGCUUUUUGGCUUGUGUGAAAGGAUUUCACAAGAAACAUUUUUUGAAAUUUGUUGAUACCAGCUAUUAUCAGAAUAAUGUUGAAGAUAUCUAUGUUAACUUAUUGGUUUUUUGUGGAUAUCAUGAAAAAAGUUCUCUCAGGUCUUCAUAUCAAGAGCAGUAGUAAUUUCUAUGAAUAGCUGGC
rnacentral:lncRNA from 1 species